rnacentral:rRNA from 1 species
GGGAGGGUCGACUAGCAUGCGAGUCGAUGUAGCAAUACAUGGCGAACUGCUCAGUAACACGUGGACAACCUGCCCUUAGGUUGGGUAUAAACCCGGGAAACUGGGUAUAAUACCCGAUAGGUCUCGAUUGCCGGAAUGCAUCGAGAUUUAAAGCUCCGGCGCCUAAGGAUGGGUCUGCGGCCUAUCAGGUAGUAGUGGGUGUAGCGUACCUACUAGCCUACGACGGGUACGGGUUGUGAGAGCAAGAGCCCGGAGAUGGAUUCUGAGACACGAAUCCAGGCCCUACGGGGUGCAGCAGGCGCGAAAACUUUACAAUGCUGGCAACAGCGAUAAGGGAACCUCGAGUGCCAGGUUACAAAUCUGGCUGUCGAGAUGCCUAAAAAGCAUUUCAUAGCAAGGGCCGGGCAAGACCGGUGCCAGCCGCCGCGGUAACACCGGCGGCUCGAGUGGUAACCGUUAUUAUUGGGUCUAAAGGGUCUGUAGCCGGCCGGAUAAGUCUCUUGAGAAAUCUGGCAGCUUAACUGUCAGGCUUUCAGGAGAUACUGUCUGGCUCGAGGCCGGGAGAGGUGAGAGGUACUUCAGGGGUAGGGGUGAAAUCUUGUAAUCCUUGAAGGACCACCAGUGGCGAAGGCGUCUCACCAGAACGGACCUGACGGCAAGGGACGAAAGCUAGGGGCACGAACCGGAUUAGAUACCCGGGUAGUCCUAGCCGUAAACGAUACUCGCUAGGUGUCGGCCACGGUGCGACCGUUGUCGGUGCCGUAGGGAAGCCGUGAAGCGAGCCACCUGGGGAAGUACGGCCGCAAGGCUGAAACUUAAAGGAAUUGGCGGGGGAGCACCACAACGGGUGGAGCUUGCGGUUUAAUUGGAUUCAACGCCGGG